AUAUCAAUAAGCGGAGGAAAAGAAACCAACAGGGAUUGCCCUAGUAACGGCGAGUGAAGCGGCAACAGCUCAAAUUUGAAAUCUGGCCUCGGCCCGAGUUGUAAUUUGCAGAGGAAGCUUUGGGUGCGGUACCGACUGAGUCCCCUGGAACGGGGCGCCACAGAGGGUGAGAGCCCCGUAUAGUCGGACGCCAAACCUGUGUAAAGCUCCUUCGACGAGUCGAGUAGUUUGGGAAUGCUGCUCAAAAUGGGAGGUAAAUUUCUUCUAAAGCUAAAUACCGGCCAGAGACCGAUAGCGCACAAGUAGAGUGAUCGAAAGAUGAAAAGCACUUUGAAAAGAGGGUUAAAUAGCACGUGAAAUUGUUGAAAGGGAAGCGUUUGAAGUCAGUCACAUCGGUCGGAAUUCAGCCUGGCUUUGCCUGGUGUACUUUCUGGCAGAUGGGUCAGCGUCAAUUUUGACUGAGGGAAAAAGACUUGAGGAAUGUGGCUGUCUUCGGGCAGUGUUAUAGCCUCUUGUUGUAUGUCUCAGUUGGGAUUGAGGACCGCAGCACGCCUUAUGGCCGGGGUUCGCGCCCUCGGAACGUGCUUAGGACGCUGGCAUAAUGGCUUUAAGCGA
rnacentral:rRNA from 1 species